UAAAUAUGGUUUUGGUAGAUAUGCAUAUACGUGUAUUUUAGGUGAUCCAUUUGAUAUGAAUUAUUGAUGUGUUAUUGAUGUGAUAUGUGUGCAUAUUUGUGAUAUAUGUGAUUAAAUGGUGACUUGUAUACAUUAUGGAAUCAUGUGAAAGUUGUAUACAUAUUUGAUGAUGAUUUGUAAAUGAUGAUGGAUGAUAAUAUGUACAUGAAAUCGAUAUGUUGUGAAAUAUGACUUUUGUACCUCGUUUAGUAUUUAUAAAUGAAUACUUGUGGAUUGUUG
rnacentral:lncRNA from 1 species